CUUAUAUUAAGAAGCCAUGGUGUCAGCAUGGCCUAAGGACAAGUCAGUCUUUCUUCAUUUGCCAAGCCUCCCAGGUAGCCACUAGACUGCCAUUCAGUAAGGCUUUCACAAAGUCCUAGGCUCUAGCCCUGCCAUUUGCAGAUCCAGCCAACCAGCCCAUUCUGCAAAUUCUUGAGUAUGGGUCACAGCCAUAGUUGCUGAUCCAGGAAUUUGCUGAAUUUGGAUAUGAAAGCAUCGAUUUCAGUAGAUCUGGCCAACUUCAUCAAAUAACAAAUCAUGGGGAGUCAUCUGUCUGUCCUUCCUGUCCUGAUCCUGGGGAGAUGAAAUCCUCAAAGUCCAUUCUUAAGUCAGUGAGGAGCUCUACACGAGGGCAAGAAGAGAUGUUGUUAAG